rnacentral:lncRNA from 1 species
AAGGACUUUGGAUUUGAAGAGAAAGAGCGGAGGGGGUGGUUAUUCGUUGGAGGCCCUGGGUAGCCGGCUAGGCCUGGGGAAUGCUCCUCUUGGCCAAACCUUGCUUUUGAGGAAGCAGCUGCACAGGGCACGACCCUUAGUGCUUUUCCAAGGUGCAGCCUAGAAAACUGUUGUGAAGAGCCUCAUUUGGUGCAGAAAGGACCAGUGCCGGACAGAGCUGUCAGCAAAUCCUGCUCGAGAAUUGCGGCCCGUGUCUGUGUAAUCGGACAACAUAAUUGUGUCGCUAAGUGGCAGGAGCAAUUAAGUGUACAGCAUUAUGAAGAAAUAAAGAUCCAAGCCCAAGAUUUAACUCGAUUUCUAAUUCCACGGAGUCCCCUCUGUGAGGCUGGACCUAGAAAGGAACAGGGUGGUGCACGGCCCUAGGAAAUCUGGCCACAGAAUGAAACCACGCCCCAAUCUGGGCUCGGUUUGGGGGUGCAGGAGCCUUGAUGGUGACUGGCAAGGAAUGAUACGUGAAAGGGAUCAGAGAGAAACACAACGACACCCUUGCAGGAGUGUGGACAAUAAAUGGUGGUGUAACAAGCAGACAGGAGCUGUCCCUACCGAAGGCUUUCCUAGGACAUGACAAUACAAUGGGGCUAAUUCUAGCAUCCACCUCUCAGCACUGCUGUGAAAAUUCAGGGAGGUGGUGAGCAUCACACAUCAGAAGAGCAUUUGGCACAUUUGGUGUUGUUAUUCCUGCAGCUUCCUGGAAGGGAGCCCCCCCCCUCCACAAUGUGCCCAACCUGUGACCUGCCCUCUUUUUCAUAAUAAAAACUUCAAAAAAGAAACUUUAUUACAU